GACGCAGGGAGGAGGCAGCCGGGCAGCCAAGGGCCUCCCCGGGGAGUGUGCGGAGGCCGGGACGGAGCAGCGCGUAACUAGGGAGAGGAUAGGCCGGGCUGGUGGAGAUGCGGGGAGAGACCAGCCAAAGCUAAAGAGCCAAAGCAAAGGCAACUACAAUGUCGGCACUGCCCUAGGCUCCAGGGCCACAGAGACACAGAGACAACCAUAGCUUCAGCCUCCUGCUGCCUCAAGUUUCUCCUUGGCAGAAUGGUAAUAUAAUCACUACUCCCCAGGCAGCUGAGAAGAUUAAAGGCACUCAUAUCUCUGAAGAAAGCUUGAUAUGAACAAGGAAGUACGUCACCCUCAGUGCUGUUGGCAGCCUUCCUGUGACCAUGAGGAGAGUCAGCUUCAAGAUGAUCCUUUGGAUAAAAGAGCAAAGAAUCAGAAAGAUCCUGGUUCCUUGAUGACUUCAACAAGCCAUUAGGUCAAUCAACAUCCUGAAAUUUGCUCUAUUUCUGGAUUCUAGUUAGUCAGCUGCUGUGUCAUGAGGGCACUCAAACAGCCCUAUGAAGAGGUCCAUGUGGUAAGGAACUGAGGACUUCUGCCAACAGCCAGCACUAACUUGCCAGGUAUGUGAAUGUGCCAUCUUGGAAGCAAGUUCUCCAACUCCAGACAAGCUCUCUAAUAACUGUGGCCCCAGCUGACAUCUUGACUGCAACCCCACGAGGGAAUCUGAGCCAGCACCACCAAGCUAAGCCACUCCUAAAUUCCUGACUUGCAGAAAAUGUGUGAAAAUAAAUGUUUAUUGUUUUAAGCCA